GAGUAACGCGUGAGGAACCUGCCUCAAAGAGGGGGACAACAGUUGGAAACGACUGCUAAUACCGCAUAAGCCCACAGGUCGGCAUCGACCAGAGGGAAAAGGAGCAAUCCGCUUUGAGAUGGCCUCGCGUCCGAUUAGCUAGUUGGUGAGGUAAUGGCCCACCAAGGCGACGAUCGGUAGCCGGACUGAGAGGUUGAACGGCCACAUUGGGACUGAGACACGGCCCAGACUCCUACGGGAGGCAGCAGUGGGGAAUAUUGCACAAUGGGGGAAACCCUGAUGCAGCGACGCCGCGUGGAGGAAGAAGGUCUUCGGAUUGUAAACUCCUGUUGUUGAGGAAGAUAAUGACGGUACUCAACAAGGAAGUGACGGCUAACUACGUGCCAGCAGCCGCGGUAAAACGUAGGUCACAAGCGUUGUCCGGAAUUACUGGGUGUAAAGGGAGCGCAGGCGGGAAGACAAGUUGGAAGUGAAAUCUAUGGGCUCAACCCAUAAACUGCUUUCAAAACUGUUUUUCUUGAGUAGUGCAGAGGUAGGCGGAAUUCCCGGUGUAGCGGUGGAAUGCGUAGAUAUCGGGAGGAACACCAGUGGCGAAGGCGGCCUACUGGGCACCAACUGACGCUGAGGCUCGAAAGUGUGGGUAGCAAACAGGAUUAGGUACCCUGGUAGUCCACACCGUAAACGAUGAUUACUAGGUGUUGGAGGAUUGACUCCUUCAGUGCCGCAG
rnacentral:rRNA from 1 species